rnacentral:lncRNA from 10 species
CCUGGCUUGGACUGUGUGCCCAUCAUUGCCAAGGAGAGGGGGAAUGGAUUUUCUUCUGUGUAUUGCUGACACGAACAGGAGACGGAAAUACUGAGUAGAAGAGGGCGGUUCCCUGGCUAAGGCCCCACCCUCAAGCCUGGAUACCCGCGGCCCUAAAUGAGAAGAGGCGUUUCUGUUUGGGGCCCAAAAAGUUGCUUUUUGACCCACCACGCCCCCUAUCCUGCCCCCAUAUAAACCCCAAACCCCAACCUCCAGAGCAUACCAGCAGGUGAGGAGAUACGAGGCAAGCCGACUGACGGCAAAACGACGUAGCAGAGAAAGAGAGAAGAGGAGGGACGUCUGGACACCGAGAGAUGUUUGGCUCGGGGCAGUCAGAGCGGAGUCCAGCCCCUGGGCGGCCCAACUCCAGGGGAAGAUCACCUUCCCACUUCAUCCAUCCCCACCCUUCCAGCUCCCCAUCCAUCCUGCUGAAAGCCAUUUCCACCACUCAAUAAAACCUCGCAUUCAUCCUUCAAGUCCGUGUGUGACCCGAUUUUUCCUGGAUUCUGGAAAAGAGCUCGGAAUACAGAAAGCUGUCCCCUGGUCCUUUGCCCUUGUGAAAAAGCAGAAGGUCCAUUGAGCUGGUUAACACUCCAGCUGUCUGUGGUGGCCAAGCUGAAAGAGCUUUGUAACACUGGGGUUGCAGGCACCCACCUCUAGACGCUACCGCAGAGCCAGAGCCCAAAGCCCUCACCCCGGCCUCUGCACUUGCCCAUCUGCGUGCUCCCCCUCUCGCAAGGGGUUUCUGCAGAGGGGGCUACUGAACAGGUGAGCCACACCCCUGUCGCACGCCCUGCAAGGGGAAUCAGGGAACUCUUCCGUUUCAUUGCUUUGACCACAUCCUAUAAA